rnacentral:misc_RNA from 1 species
GCAUCAUCUUUCUUCCCAUCAUCUUUCUUCUCCUCUUUCGCCGGUCCGACAGACACAAUCUCUGUGUGCCAGACUUUCCUUAACUUGCCUACAAUGGUUACAGGAUCAACAUCUCCAGUAACUGUUAAUUUCCUCUCCUUCAUAUCCAUGGCAAUGGAGUCAAUCCCUGGAAUGCCCGAAACUGCUUUCAGGGCCUUUUUCUUGGCCUUGUCAUCGUGUAGGUCCAAUUUCAAAACUACUUUCUUCAUUCUCAAUUGAGAUUCAAAGAUGUGACCUGGAAUUAAUUGCUGUCAAUUAAUC